CUCAUAAGUCUUAACGGAGAAAGCUUUAUGCGCCGAAGGAUGAGCCUGCACUUGAUUAGUUUGUUGGUAGGGUAAUGGCCUACCAAGACUUUGAUCUAUAGCUGAUCUGAGAGGAUGAUCAGCCACAUUGGGACUGAGACACGGCCCAAACUCCUACGGGAGGCAGCAGUAGGGAAUAUUGCACAAUGGAGGAAACUCUGAUGCAGCGAUGCCGCGUGAGUGAAGAAGGCCUUUGGGUUGUAAAGCUCUUUCGUCGGGGAAGAAAAUGACUGUACCCGAAUAAGAAGGUCCGGCUAACUUCGUGCCAGCAGCCGCGGUAAUACGAAGGGACCUAGCGUAGUUCGGAAUUACUGGGCUUAAAGAGUUCGUAGGUGGUUAAAAAAGUUGGUGGUGAAAUCCCAGAGCUUAACUCUGGAACUGCCAUCAAAACUUUUUAGCUAGAGUAUGAUAGAGGAAAGCAGAAUUUCUAGUGUAGAGGUGAAAUUCGUAGAUAUUAGAAAGAAUACCAAUUGCGAAGGCAGCUUUCUGGAUCAUUACUGACGCUGAGGAACGAAAGCAUGGGUAGCGAAGAGGAUUAGAUACCCUCGUAGUCCAUGCCGUAAAACGAUGUGUGUUAGACGUUGGAAAUUUAUUUUUCAGU
rnacentral:rRNA from 1 species